UUCUAGUAUUUUUUUAUGCUUCCAGGUACCCAGAACCGCAAAUUUUACUUUGAGCUCCUCAGAAGAAAGGUGCUCCAGGCAUCUGAGAGAAUACCGUUGGGGUGAUACUUACAAAUUUGUAAGCUAACACUGAAAUCUUAAAACUUCCGAAAAUAUUAAUGCAUUUGUAUGACUUAUUUUUCAACUGAGUAUGUCAAAGUACUUUAUGAACAAGUGUUGUCC
rnacentral:lncRNA from 10 species